rnacentral:misc_RNA from 1 species
GGAUAAGAUCAAUGAAUUAAAGGUAUCACAGGGAGUAAAGUUAUGUAUAUAAAAAAAAAAACUGAAGAAUUUCAUAAUAUAUUUUAGAUCAUAUUUAAUCUGUGAAUUUUGCCGAUUAUUCUGAGGAAAUUGGGCCAAAGUGCUUGUCAGUAUGUUGAGUAGCUUUGCAUGUGUAAGCUGAGAAGAGUGAACUUCGUGAUGAGAAGCACAGGCUAAAGACAGAGAAAGAGAACCUU